AGAGUUUGAUCAUGGCUCAUGAUGAACGCUGGCGGCGUGCUUAACACAUGCAAUUCUAACGAAGCUCCCUUACUUGAGAUUUCGGUCAAGAGCAAAGGAUGACUUAGUGGCGGACGGGUGAGUAAUGCGUGAGCAACCUGCCCUUCAGAGGGGGACAACAGUUGGAAACGACUGCUAAUACCGCAUAAUGUAUUCGGAAGACAUCUUCUGAAUACCAAAGAUUUAUCGCUGAAGGAUGGGCUCACGUCUGAUUAGAUAGUUGGUGAGGUAACGGCCCACCAAGUCUACGAUCAGUAGCCGGACUGAGAGGUUGGCCGGCCACAUUGGGACUGAGAUACGGCCCAGACUCCUACGGGAGGCAGCAGUGGGGAAUAUUGGGCAAUGGGCGAAAGCCUGACCCAGCAACGCCGCGUGAAGGAAGAAGGCUUUCGGGUUGUAAACUUCUUUUGGCAGGGACGAAGAAAGUGACGGUACCUGCAGAAUAAGCUCCGGCUAACUACGUGCCAGCAU
rnacentral:rRNA from 1 species